UACGUAGGCAGCGAGCGUUGUUCGGAAUUACUGGGCGUAAAGAGUGUGUAGGCGGUGUUCCAAGUCUGGUGUGAAAUCUCCCGGCUUAACUGGGAGGGUGCGCCGGAAACUGGAAUGCUCGAGGGUGGGAGAGGUAAGCGGAAUUCCUGGUGUAGCGGUGAAAUGCGUAGAUAUCAGGAGGAAUACCGAUGGCGAAGGCAGGUCUCUGGGCUGACACUGACGCUCAUGCACGAAAGCGUGGGGAGC
rnacentral:rRNA from 1 species